UACAGAGGGUGCGAGCGUUAAUCGGAAUUACUGGGCGUAAAGCGCACGUAGGUGGCGACGUAAGUCGGGUGUGAAAGCCCCCGGGCUCAACCUGGGAAUUGCAUUCGAGACUGCAUUGCUGGAGUACGGAAGAGGAGGGCGGAAUUCCCGGUGUAGCGGUGAAAUGCGUAGAUAUCGGGAGGAACAUCAGUGGCGAAGGCGGCCCUCUGGUCCAGUACUGACACUCAAGUGCGAAAGCGUGGGGAGCAAACAGG
rnacentral:rRNA from 1 species